GCAGGUUUCACACCUUGACAUAUUUCAGGCUGGUUCUGCUGGGUUAGAAGUUGUGCUCGAUAUGAAACUACUUGGAUGGACCAGCAUACAAGAAAGUCAUAGCAGUGCUCCUCUUAUGCUUUGGAGAAAGUGUACGUUAAUCUUGAGAUUUGUAUCUUUAGUUCUUUGAUUUACUUCUAAACAUGUUACAUUCACUAAUUCCUCUGCCCACAUACAGGAACCGUAUGAUCUUCAUGUUAUUUGUGUCAACCAUAAUGUGUCUGGCCCGUGGCCCUGUCUACUGCACCGAUGCUGACAAACCCAUUUUCAUAUUCCAUCACAUUCAUAUUAAUUUUCUGGCAAGACCAAGAGAUGAAAAUCCAAAACUCCUCAAUAUACUCAUGAGAUGCAAAUCACGUGGAUCAACCUUUUGAAGAAACACCAACAACACAAUCGAUUUGACAUGAGGCUGCAAAAAUUGUAAUUUAUGGGGAAGUUGUGGUGCAGCCAACCAAAGGCGUGGAUGUUGCCAGCGGCCACAAGGAAAUUUAAUUAUGUCAUUUUUGUUGGCAUAAUCUGGUUGCUGCAGCCAGUGAACUAUGGGAGACUUUGAGCACUCGAAAGGAACUAACCAAAUUUAAUAUUCACAAACAGUGAAGAUUUCAUUGAUGCACUAUAUAUGUAUAUAUAUACUGUUACAUGUUUGUUUCAUAUCUGUGUUGUUGCUUAUUAUCGGUCUUGAAGAUACAGAUUAGCUAUAUUUACCAAGUGCACACUUAUACCAAAGCCCAUUUGUACAUAUGAUAUUUCUCUCCAUUACUGACUAAU